rnacentral:rRNA from 1 species
GCCGCAGGGAAGCCGUUAAGUCUGCCGCCUGGGAAGUACGUACGCAAGUAUGAAACUUAAAGGAAUUGGCGGGGGAGCACCACGAGGGGUGAAGCCUGCGGUUCAAUUGGAGUCAACGCCAGAAAUCUUACCUGGGGAGACAGCAGAAUGAAGGUCANNNNNNAGACUUUACCAGACACGCUGAGAGGUGGUGCAUGGCCGUCGCCANNUCGUGCCGUGAGAUGUCCUGUUAAGUCAGGUAACGAGCGAGACCCCUGCGUCUAGUUGCUACCAUUACUCUCUGGAGCAGUGGAGCGAAUUAGACGGACCGCCACAGUUAAUGUGGAGGAAGGAAGGGGCCACGGCAGGUCAGUAUGCCCCGAAACCCUAGGGCUACACGCGGGCUGCAAUGGUAUU